GCUAGGCUUCCUUAGCAGAAGAAUGGCAGGCACCAUGUUUAAGAGCAACAUUAUGGAGGAAAGCCAAGAGAGAGGCCAUAACAAGUACUUAAACAAAGGACCAAAGCCCUCUAAUGGUUUCCUUGUGGAAGUAGACAUAAUACGAGUUGCACAAGGCUUUGCAGAGGUGAGGCAAGGUUGCUUUCGGUCCAGGUGUUUUAUCAGAACCAUGGUAACCCUAAGAUGAAGAAGGUGAAGGAGCUCCCAGAGAAGGCACUCUUGGAACAUGUGCUGGAUUUAUCCUGUAAAUUCCUGUCAUCACCGGAUCCUCUAUGAAUCUUGCUUCCAAGAUACAUAAAAGCAGUCAGAAGAAGGCGCAAGAUCCCCUGGCACUGGAGCUGCAGGACUCAAGUGUGUCUUCUGGAAUAGCUGCAAAUGGUCUCAACCACCCGGACAUCACUGAACCAUCUUCGUGAGCUGCUUUUCUCUAAGGUCUCAGCACCCAACACUGCUAAGAGAGGAGAAAACAGAACUUAAGGAGCACCAACAAGACCAAAACCAGAUAUUAGAACACAAGAAAAAUCAAUUGGGAAAGCAACUACACCACCAAAAGGAAGAAAGGCGAAAUUAAUGUACAAUAAACCGUGCAGUUAAAAAUUAAGGGUGACAAUAAAGGAAGAGUCAAAGGCAA